rnacentral:lncRNA from 11 species
GGAGAGAAUGCUUCAAAAUGCUCCAAAGAAGGCUGAGGGGGAAAAGGAAAGGCCUGAGGCUGUGAGGAAUGGUGGGAGUCGAAGUCCAAAACACCCGGACGGAGGGCCCAAGUUGGCCCAGGCCUGCUCUAAGUAGGUGAUUUGGGCCCCUGCCUGGACAGUCUUGGUCUGAAUGAUAUAGCAGUGCAGAUGAGGCCUUGGAUAGGAGACCCUGGUCCCGAAGUUGUGGACCUUGGUCCCCCUUGAAGCCCCCUCGCCGCACCCAAAGGACGGUGACGCGUGGAAAAAGCGUGGGCGCGCCUCCUCCUCCUCCUCCCGCGUGGGCCCCUCCCUUCUUUGCUGCCUCUCCUCCUUCCUUCCUUCCGCGUCUCCGAGUUUCGCUCUCCGGGGAAAGAAAGGGCGACGGAACUUUGCCCUGGGUGCGAUUGUGUCGUCACAAAGGCCGGCCGGCCAAUCAGGGCGAGAGGUUUAAAAUAGCGCCUUAUAAAUAGCCGAGGGCGGCGGGCAGGUGACCCAGGUGCUUCUUCCGGCUUACCUGGAGGGAGGCAGGCAGGCAGGCAGGCAGCUUUUGUCCUUCCUUCCUUCCUUCCUUCCUUCCUUCCUUCCUUCCUUCCUUCCUUCCUUCCUUCCUUCCUUCCUUCCUCCUGGCAGUGCCCAGCAUGCGCCGCAGGUGGACAGGCUCGGGAUGUGCUUUGUAGUCACACACUGCGCAGCGGGGGGAACUCAAGGCGCUCUGGCCUUGGCCCCGUUGCUUGCUUGCUGCCCCUGCUGCCGGCUCUCUUCUCUCUCACACAGUCAAUCCUCUGGAAAGUUGCAGAUCUACAGUAAGAAAAGAUGAAGAUGUAUUGGAAAAAUGAACAAGGAGGACUAUAUCACCUGCAGGCCUCAUAAAAUUUGGUGAAUGAGGCAGUGCAGUGGGAUGAACUGCUCUCAUCUAGACCAGGACCAACAACACAAACUGGUUGUUUCUCUCUAGUCUUUCAGGUAGGAUUCUGAUCUUAGAACCUGCUAAUCAUA